ACACAUGCAAGUCGAACGAGAGAUGAGGAGCUUGCUCUUCAAAUCGAGUGGCGAACGGGUGAGUAACGCGUGAGGAACCUGCCUCAAAGAGGGGGACAACAGUUGGAAACGACUGCUAAUACCGCAUAAGCCCACGGCUCGGCAUCGAGCAGAGGGAAAAGGAGCAAUCCGCUUUGAGAUGGCCUCGCGUCCGAUUAGCUAGUUGGUGAGGUAACGGCCCACCAAGGCGACGAUCGGUAGCCGGACUGAGAGGUUGAACGGCCACAUUGGGACUGAGACACGGCCCAGACUCCUACGGGAGGCAGCAGUGGGGAAUAUUGCACAAUGGGGGAAACCCUGAUGCAGCGACGCCGCGUGGAGGAAGAAGGUCUUCGGAUUGUAAACUCCUGUUGUUGAGGAAGAUAAUGACGGUACUCAACAAGGAAGUGACGGCUAACUACGUGCCAGCAGCCGCGGUAAAACGUAGGUCACAAGCGUUGUCCGGAAUUACUGGGUGUAAAGGGAGCGCAGGCGGGAGAACAAGUUGGAAGUGAAAUCCAUGGGCUCAACCCAUGAACUGCUUUCAAAACUGUUUUUCUUGAGUAGUGCAGAGGUAGACGGAAUUCCCGGUGUAGCGGUGGAAUGCGUAGAUAUCGGGAGGAACACCAGUGGCGAAGGCGGCCUACUGGGCACCAACUGACGCUGAGGCUCGAAAGUGUGGGUAGCAAACAGGAUUAGAUACCCUGGUAGUCCACACCGUAAACGAUGAUUACUAGGUGUUGGAGGAUUGACCC
rnacentral:rRNA from 1 species